UACGUAGGGUGCAAGCGUUGUCCGGAAUUAUUGGGCGUAAAGAGCUCGUAGGCGGUCCGUCACGUCGGCUGUGAAAACUCGGGGCUCAACCCCGAGCCUGCAGUCGAUACGGGCGGACUAGAGUCCGGCAGGGGAGACUGGAAUUCCUGGUGUAGCGGUGAAAUGCGCAGAUAUCAGGAGGAACACCGGUGGCGAAGGCGGGUCUCUGGGCCGACACUGACGCUGAGGAGCGAAAGCGUGGGGAGCGAACAGG
rnacentral:rRNA from 1 species